rnacentral:lncRNA from 1 species
GAUGAGGGGUCCCCACUAGGUUAUAAUAUUUAAUCCAAUGGUUAGAGAUGAUGAAAGCAAUUGAUCCAAAGGCCAAAAACUUGAUAGCAAAAAAGGCCUUUUGCUAUCAAUAGCAUUCUAGCUCAACUCUCUCUCUCUCUCUCUCUCUCUCUCUCUCUCUCUCUCUCUAUAUAUAUAUAUAUAUAUAUAUAUAUAUAUAU